rnacentral:rRNA from 1 species
UACGAAGGGAGCUAGCGUUGUUCGGAAUCACUGGGCGUAAAGCGCACGUAGGCGGAUGUGUCAGUCAGGGGUGAAAUCCCGGAGCUCAACUUCGGAACUGCCUCUGAUACAGCACGUCUUGAGUCCGAUAGAGGUGGGUGGAAUUCCUAGUGUAGAGGUGAAAUUCGUAGAUAUUCGGAAGAACACCAGUGGCGAAGGCGGCUCACUGGCCCGUUACCGACGCUCAGGCGCGACAGCGUGGGGAGCAAACAGG